GAAGAUGAUGAUAGUUUUUUGUCGCCCCAGUCUUAUAAGCAUUUCAAUGCUUGGUGGUGAUUGACUCUUUUAUAUCUGAUUC